CAGGGAUUGCCUCAGUAACGGCGAGUGAAGCGGCAACAGCUCAAAUUUGAAAGCUGGCUCCCUUGGAGCCCGCGUUGUAAUUUGCAGAGGAUGUUUCGGGCGCGGCGCCGGUCUAAGUUCUUUGGAACAGGACGUCAUAGAGGGUGAGAAUCCCGUAUGUGACUGGUGGCCUGCGCUCAUGUGAAACUCCUUCGACGAGUCGAGUUGUUUGGGAAUGCAGCUCAAAAUGGGAGGUGUAUUUCUUCUAAAGCUAAAUAUGGGCCGGAGACCGAUAGCGCACAAGUAGAGUGAUCGAAAGAUGAAAAGCACUUUGGAAAGAGAGUUAAACAGUACGUGAAAUUGUUGAAAGGGAAGCGCUUGCAAUCAGACUUGCGCGGCGCCGAUCAGCUCGGGUUCUCCCAGGUGCACUCGGCGCCGCUCAGGCCAGCAUCGGUUUCGGCGGUGGGACAAAGGUUCAGGGAACGUAGGCGGUCUCGGCCGCCGUUAUAGCCCUGGGCGCAAUGCCGCCAGCCGGGACCGAGGGCCGCGCCUUCGGGCUAGGAUGCUGGCGUAAUGGUUGUAAGCGACCCGUCUUGAAACACGGAUCAAGGAGUCUAACAUCUAUGCGAGUGUUUGGAUGUCAAAUCCAUGCGCGGAAUGAAAGUGAACGGAGGUGAGAGCCCAUCAGGGUGCAUCAUCGACCGGUCCUGAUGUCUUCGGAUGGAUCUGAGUAAGAGCAUAGCUGUUGGGACCCGAAAGAUGGUGAACUAUGCCUGAAUAGGGUGAAGCCAGGGGAAACCCUGGUGGAGGCUCGCAGCGGUUCUGACGUGCAAAUCGAUCGUCAAAUUUGGGUAUAGGGGCGAAAGACUAAUCGAACCAUCUAGUAGCUGGUUCACGCCGAAGUUUCCCUCAGGAUAGCAGUGUUGUAUUCNGUUUUAUGAG
rnacentral:rRNA from 1 species